CACUCAUCUCUCUCUCUCUCUCUCUCUCUCUCUCUCUUUCUCUUUCCUUCUCUCUCGUUCUAAAUCUCUCGCUUUGAUCGUUCGUAAAACCCUAAUUCUGCAUCGCGAGCGAGCCCCAAUCUCGGGCCUUCGCGCGCGCGUCCCGGCUCGCUCGGGAUUUUCCCCCAGCCCUCGAUCGGCGGCGUUCCCCGGAGAGCAUCCGAUCGCCGGGGGGGAGCAGUGAUCAGCAGCUCCGCCGUCGCCCCCGCCUCCGCUCGCCGUGGGGUCACCGAUCGGUCAAUUCUCGCCGCCGCCGAGGAUUGAUCGGUCCCCGGAAGCGCUAUCGGCCUCAGGCAAUGCGUGCGGCUACGACAUGAAGAUGAAGCGGAGGGCCGUGGAAGUGCCUCCAAAGAUUCGAUCCUUCAUUGACAGUGUUACUGCUGUUCUGCUCGAGAAUAUAGAGGAACCCCUUAAAUGUUUUGUCUGGGAGUUUGAUAAGGGAGAUUUUCAUCACUGGGUUGAUCUUUUCAAUCAUUUUGAUUCAUUUUUUGAGAAGUACAUUAAGUCGAGAAAAGAUUUACAGCUCGAGGAUAAUUUUUUGGAAUCUGAUCUUCCUUUCCCAAAGGCUGCAGUUCUUCAAAUUCUUCGUGCCAUACGAAUAAUCUUGGAAAAUUGCACAAAUAAACACUUCUACAGCUCAUAUGAGCAGCAUCUCUCAUCUUUGCUUGCUUCAACUGAUGUGGAUGUUGUUGAGGCUUGCUUGCAAACUUUGGCUGCCUUCCUAAAAAAGACUAUAGGGAAGGGCUCUAUCAGAGAUGCAUCUUUGAAAUCCAAGCUUUAUGCUCUUGCACAAGGUUGGGGUGGAAAGGAAGAGGGCCUUGGACUCGUUGCAUGUGCUGUGGAGAGUGGGUGUGACACCAUUGCCCAUGAGUUGGGCUGCACCCUUCAUUUUGAAUUUUAUGAGGCAGAAGAAUUGCCUACGGAUUCGGGAAAUGAGCAACAGCAAAUCCAGGGGUUACGGGUCAUUCAUCUGCCUAAUGCGAAUGCUUGUCUAGAAACUGAUCUAGAGCUUUUAAAUAAGCUUGUUGUGGAGUACAAAGUACCAAGUGGUUUAAGAUUUUCAUUGCUAACAAGACUGCGGUUUGCGAGGGCAUUUGGCUCUUUAGCUGCUCGGCAGCAGUACACGUGCAUUCGCCUAUACGCCUUCAUAGUUCUAGUCAAAGCAAGCAGUGAUGCUGAUGAUUUAGCUUCUUUCUUCAAUACAGAACCUGAAUUCAUCAAUGAAUUAUUAUCAUUAUUGAGCCAUGAAGAUGCAGUUCCUGAAAAAAUCCGCAUACUGUGUCUACUUUCAUUGGUUGCUCUUUGUCAGGAUCGAUCUCGUCAGACAACGGUCCUGACUACAGUUACAUCAGGUGGAUACCGAGGUAUCCUUUCCAGCCUUGUGCAGAAGGCUAUUGAAUCUGUUACAAGCGGCUCCUCGAAGUGGUCUGUUGUAUUUGCUGAGGCGCUACUAUCUCUUGUCACCACUCUGGUUUCGUCAUCAACUGGGUGUUCAGCCAUGCGGGAAGCGGGAUUCAUAGCUACUUUGCUUCCCCUUCUCAAUGAUACAGAUCCACAGCACUUGCACUUGGUCUGUACGGCCGUGCAUAUUCUCGAAGCUUUCAUGGAUUAUAGUAAUCCAGCUGCUGCAUUGUUCAGGGAGCUGGGAGGUCUGGAUGAUACCAUCAAACGGUUGGAGAUGGAAGUGUCUUAUGUAGAAAAUGGUUCUAAGCAACAAGGUGAAAAGGCUGAGUGCAGUGCCAGUGCAGAUGUAGUGGCCGCCGCUUCCAGUGACUUGGAUAACAUACAGCCUCUGUAUUCUGAAUCAUUAGUUUCACACCACCGGCGACUACUAAUGAAAGCUUUGUUGCGUGCAAUAUCCCUUGGAACUUAUGCUCCUGGAAAUACUACUAGUAUUAAUGGCUCCACCGAGAGGUUGUUACCUCAUUGCCUGUGUGUAAUUUUCCAAAGGGCAAAAGAUUUUGGUGGUGGUGUUUUCUCACUUGCAGCAACUGUGAUGAGUGAUUUGAUUCAUAAGGAUCCUACAUGCUUUUCCAUUUUAGAGGCAGCUGGUCUUCCUUCUGCUUUCUUGGAUGCUAUCUUGGAUGGUGCUAUCUGCUCUGCAGAGGCAAUAUCUUGCGUACCUCAGUGUCUGGAUGCCUUGUGCCUUAAUAAUAACGGUCUCCAGGCUGUGAAAGAUCGAAAUGCAUUGAGGUGCUUUGUGAAAAUAUUUACCUCUAGAGGAUAUUUGCGCUGGCUUACUGGCGAUACACCUGGUAACUUGUCUAGUGGGCUGGACGAACUACUGCGCCAUGCUUCCUCAUUGCGGGGACCUGGUGUGGAUAUGCUCAUUGAGAUUUUGAACGUAAUUUCAAACAUUGGUUCAGGGGUUGAGUCAUCCAACUCCACUAUUGAGUCAGCGUGCUCAUCCUCUGCUGUUCCCAUGGAAACUGAUGCUGAAGGGGGAAGUUUUGUUUCUCCAGAUGAUAAGGACUCAGCCAAGAUGGAUGUUUUGGAGCAUAACCUAGAGCCAUCACCUGAUGCUUCUGGCUUGAAUGCUGAGGCUUUUCUACCAGAUUUUGCAAGUAAUGCGGCUCGUCUUCUUGAAACGGUGCUUCAGAAUGCUGAAACAUGUCGUUUGUUUGUUGAGAAGAAGGGGAUUGAAGCUGUCUUAAGGUUGCUAACCUUGCCUUUAAUGCCGAUGUCAGCUUCACUUGGGCAUAGUUUGUCUGUUGCUUUCAAAAACUUUUCAUUACAGCACUCUGCUUCUCUCGCACGUGCAGUAUGUGCCUUUAUCAGGGAGCAUCUAAAAGAAGCGAUUGAUCUCUUAAUGUCGGUUGGAGAUACUCCAUUCGCAGCAAUUGAAUCUACAAGGCAAGCAACUGUUUUGCGACAUCUUUUUAUUCUCGAAGGUAUUCUGUCUCUUUCUAAUUUCUUGUUGAAAGGGACUACAACUUUAUUUUCUGAACUGGGCACUUCGGAUGCUGAUAUAUUGAAGGGUAUUGGAAGGGCAUAUAGGGAAAUUAUCUGGCAAAUAUCUUUGAUUAGUGAUUCUAAGGGGGAAGAGAAGAGGAAUCUUGAGCAAGAACCUGAGAGUUCUGAUGCAGGUUCUUCCAGUGCGGUUGGAAGAGAGAGUGAUGACGAUGCCAAUAUACCGGUGGUGAGAUACAUGAACCCUGUUUCAGUGAGGAACAGUUCUCAUUCUUUGUGGGGCGGAGAGAGGGAAUUUCUUUCAAUUGUGCGUUCUAGUGAAGGUUUACACCGACGUACUAGGCAUGGUUUCACACGUUUACGCGGAGGAAGGACAGGGAGGCACUUGGAGGCUCUGAACAUUGACUCUGAAGCUUACUCAAAUGCACCAGAUACAUCUUCCUUAGAAUUGAAAAAAAAGAGUCCAGAUGUCCUCAUGAUAGAAAUUUUGGGCAAAUUGGCAUCAACAAUACGUUCCUUUUUUACAGCACUUGUCAAGGGUUUCACCUCAUCAAACCGUCGCAGAGGUGACUCAGGUGCAUUGGGAACGGCUUCAAAGACCCUUGGAUCUGCAUUGGCCAAAGUUUUUCACGAGGCUCUUAAUUUUUCUGGGCAUUCAACUUCUGAAGGGCCAUCAGUGAAAUGUCGGUACCUUGGUAAGGUUGUGGAUGAUAUGGCGGCUGUCACAUUUGACAGUAAACGCCGAACAUGUUAUGCAGCAAUGGUGAACAGCUUUUAUGUUCAUGAAACAUUCAAAGAGCUACUUACCACUUUCGAAGCUACGAGUCAGUUGCUCUGGACACUUCCAUAUUCUAUGAGAACAUCAGGGGAUGAUCAUGAUAAGCUAGUUGAAGAAACUAAACAAUCAGGCAGAAUAUUUCUCGAUACGCUUCAAAGCUACUGUCGUGAAUUGGAGUAUUUUGUUAACCCUGCUUUUCUGUUAUCUCCUUCUGCCUCCCAGGCUCAGUUACUCGUGCAGCCGGCUACAACUGGUCUGUCUAUAGGACUGUUUCCAGUACCAAGGGAUCCAGAAGUCUUUGUGAAGAUGUUGCAAUCUCAAGUUCUGGAUGUCAUACUUCCUAUCUGGAACCACCAACUCUUUCCCAAUUGCAGUCCUGGUUUUAUCGCUUCUAUCGUUUCCCUUGUUAUGCAUGUGUAUUCAGGCACUGGAGAUUUGAGACGGAACCGAAGUGGUGCUGUUGGGAGCACGAACCAGCGAUAUGUGCCUCCUCCGCCUGAUGAGGCAACUAUUACAACCAUUGUUGAAAUGGGUUUUACAAGGGCAAGAGCGGAGGAAGCCUUAAGACGGGUUGAAACAAAUAGUGUUGAAAUGGCGAUGGAGUGGUUGUUCAGUCAUGCUGAGGAUCCUGUGCAGGAGGAUGAUGAACUGGCACGAGCACUUGCUCUGUCACUGGGGAGUUCAUCUGAAACCAGUAAAAUUGACGUUGCUGACAAGUCAAUGGAUGUUGAAACGGAUGGAGGCCAGACUAAGGCCCCCCCUGUUGAUGAUAUUCUUUCUGCUUCAGUCAAAUUGUUUCAAAAUGGUGACAUUAUGGCAUUCACCUUGACAGAUCUGUUUUCUACCCUAUGCAACCGAAACAAAGGAGAAGACCGUUCAAAGGUGGUGGUAUAUCUUAUCCAGCAGUUAAAGCUUUCUGGGCAUAUGUUGAGGGAUAUAAAUGCACUUUGUAUCAUAUCCCGUGUGAUGGCACUGCUCCUUUUAGAAGAUGGAAGUGCACGAGAAAUCGCUGCUCAAGAGGGUAUUGUGUCUGUUGCAAUAGAUAUUCUGAUGAACUUCAAGUCUAAAAGUGAGUGGGGGGAUGAGACGUUGUUCCAAAAGUGCAUAAGUGCGUUGCUACUUAUAUUGGAUAACAUGCUACAGUCCAGGCCCAAAGUUUCUUCGGAGAAUACUGGGGUUGCAAUGAGAUCUCUACCUGACUCAUCUGCAGAUCAGGCUUCAUUACCAACGACAAACCCAAUCACGGAAAAUAAAGAAGCUCCUGAUGUCUGUGACAAAGAAUCUGGUACUGCCAUGGAGAAGAUAUUUGGCAACCCAACUGGUCAUUUGACUAUUGAAGAGAGUCAUAAGUUAUUGGAAGUCGCAUGCGACUUUAUAAAGGAUCAUGUCCCUGCCAUGAUCAUGCAAGCCGUUCUGCAAUUAUGUGCUCGUUUGACGAAAUCUCACACACUGGCUUUGCAGUUUCUAGACAAUGGAGCAUUGCCAGCACUUUUCAGUCUCCCCAAAGCUUGUUUCUUCCCUGGAUAUGACACUGUUGCAUCUGCCAUAAUAAGGCAUCUGCUUGAAGAUCCUCAGACACUGCAAUCGGCUAUGGAAUUGGAAAUUCGACAGACUGUGAGUGGAAACAGGCAUGCGGGGCGUUUAUCCCCGAGAACAUUUUUGACAUCUAUGGCUCCUGUCAUCUCCAGAGAUCCUGCUAUCUUUAUGAGAGCUGCAACUGCUGUUUGUCAAGUAGAGUCAUCAGGGGGUAGGAACUUUGUUGUUUUGUCAAAGGAAAAGGAAAAGCCAAAAACAUCAAGUGAACACAGUCUACAUUUAACUGAAACUGGUCGGGCUACUGAAAGUAAGGUUCUUGAGGGAUCAGCUAAAUGUUCUAAGGUCCACAAAAAAGUUCCUGCCAACCUCACCCAGGUCAUCGACCAACUCAUUGAUAUUGUACUGAAAUUUCCUUCAACCAAAGGCCAGGAGGAGUGUGGUAAUUGCUCAUCACCCAUGGAGGUUGAUGAACCUAUAACUAAGGUAAAGGGAAAAAGCAAGGUUGGCGAUAACAAAAAAAAUGAGUUGGAAUUUGAUAGAUCUGCUGGAUUGGCCAAAGUGACUUUUGUCCUUAAACUAAUGAGUGAUAUUCUUUUGAUGUAUGCACAUGCUGUGGGGGUUAUACUGAAACGGGAUCUUGAGAUGGCUCAGCUACAAGUUUCUAGUAAUCCAUACAGCUCUGGAAUAUUACACCAUAUUUUACAUCAUCUCCUUCCAUUAUCAGCUAAUAAAUCUUUAGGACCUGAUGAAUGGAGAGACAAGUUGUCUGAGAAGGCAUCCUGGUUUCUGGUUGUUUUGUGUGGUCGAUCUGGAGAAGGGCGAAGGCGCGUAAUCUGUGAAUUAGUGAAAACAUUGUCGUCUUUCUCAAACCUGGAAAGCAACUCUGCCAGAACCGUUUUAUUGCCAGAUAAAAAGGUUUUCUCAUUUGUUGAGUUAGCAUAUUCUGUAUUGUCAAAAAAUUCAUCACCUGGCACCUUGCCCGGUUCAGGAUGCUCGCCUGACAUAGCAAAAAGUAUGAUAGAUGGAGGCAUGGUACAGUGUCUGACAGGAAUUCUUCAAGUUAUCGAUCUGGACCAUCCUGAUGCUCCUAAAACUGUCAAUCUUAUAGUAAAAUCACUGGAGAGCCUCACAAGAGCUGCCAAUAUGAAUGAGCCGGUAAUCAAGCCAGAUGGUUCAAAUAAGAAAAAAUUUGUGGGGUCAAUUGAUAGGGUGAAUGAGCAUAUAAAUGCAACUUCAGCUGUGGAAACAGCAGAGCAAAGUCAGAGCAGGUUCAAUCAAGAGGAAGUUGCAGAUGCUGCUGAGACACAAGAACCUCAGCUUCGAGGAUCUUCCCAAAUUGAUGCAAGCCGUGAUGUGAAUCCCGAGCGGUUGAUGGGCCAAAAUAGGGUAGAUGAAGCAGAAGAGACAUUGGCUUCUAGUCCUGCUGCAAACCUUGAGAUGGAAUUCAUGCGGGAAGAGAUGGAAGAAGGUGGUUCAUCGCAUAACACAAACCACCUUGAGGUGACAUUCGGUGUUGAGAACAGGGCAGAUGAUGAUAUGGGUGAUGAAGAUGACAUGGGUGAUGACGGUGAGGACGAUGAUGACGACGACGACGGUGAGGACGAGGAUGAAGCUGAAGAUGGUACUGGUAUGAUGUCUCUAGCUGAUACUGAUGUGGAAGACCAUGAUGAUGCUGGCCUAGGGGAUGACUACAAUGAUGAGAUGAUUGAUGAAGAAGACGAUGACUUUCAUGAAAACCGUGUUAUUGAAGUAAGGUGGCGGGAAGCUCUUGAUGGGUUAGAUGAUCAUUUGCAGGUGCUUGGUCAACCUGGAGCUACAAGCGGUCUUAUUGAUGUUGCAGCUGAACCUUUUGAAGGGGUGAAUGUGGAUGACCUUUUUGGUCUCCGUAGAUCACUGGGUUUUGAACGGCGUCGGCAAACAGGUAGGUCUUCGUUCGAACGAUCCACCACAGAAACAUCUGGUUUUCAGCAUCCCCUUCUAUUAAGACCAAAUCAGGCAGGAGACAUGGUCUCUAUGUGGUCCGGAGGAAAUUCCUCCAGGGAUCUGGAAUCUUUGACAUCUGAAAGCUUUGAUGCAUCUCACUUUUACAUGUUUGAUGCGCCUGUCCUUCCAUAUGAUCAUUUGCCAAGUAGUCUGUUUAGUAACCGUCUUGGAGGCUCGGCACCUCCACCUUUGUCUGAUUACUCAAUAAAUUUGGACUCGUUACAACUACCGGGUCGCAGAGGACCUGGUGAUGGACGUUGGACUGAUGAUGGUCAGCCCCAGAUUGGUUCUCAAGCUUCUGCAAUAGCUCAGGCAAUAGAAGAACAGUUCUUAUCUCACUUUCAUCAAAGCAUUCCUGCCAGCAGUCCAGCUGAAAGGCAAUUAGAGAAUUCAGAGGUCCAGGAGAAGGAACAACAGGAUGCCCCACCUUCAAGUAGCAUUCAACCCGCACUUGAGGUCAACAAUAGCAUUGGCCAACCAGUUGAAGAUCAACAGCAAGAAGGUUGUAAUGAAGCUGAAAAUCAAGAGAAUAUUCGGGCUGUUGAGAGUGUUCCUCUGGAAGAGCAGGUCAAUUCUGAGUUGGUUGCCGAAGAACCCAUGUCUAUUCAACCACUUUCAUUGAACUACACUCCCAGUCAACAAGAUAGCAUGGAAAUUGGGGAUAGAAACGGGGCCACUGGUCAGGAGGGAGAGACGGUACAGGAGUUGAUCAUCUCAUCAACUGAGUCAGUUGAUCAAGUGAGUGCAAAUGUGCUUGCAGAUGGAGGUGCUAUGGCUGCUCAUAGUACUGGAGGAUCUUCAGUGGUGGGUCAGGCCAAUAAUCAUGUCAUUGUUCAUCCUAAUAUCGAUAUGGCAAGUGAUGCUGAUGCCUCUUCUGCGCUGCCCAAUGCUGACAUUGACAUGAAUAGUUUGGAUGCUGAAGAAAAUCAAAUCGAGCAAUCUGUGCCUGUCCCUGAACCUGGUGAGAAUGGACCGUCAGCAAUGCAGGCCGCUGUGGUUGCUCAAAAUGGCAGUCACACUGAUCAAACUGCUUUAGAUGGUGAUGUCCCUGGGGGAAACGUUAUUGAUCCAACAUUCUUGGAGGCGUUACCUGAAGAAUUGCGCGCAGAAGUUCUAGCUUCUCAACAAGCCCAGUCUGUUGAACCUCCAACUUAUGUGCCACCAUCAGCAGAUGAAAUUGAUCCUGAGUUCUUAGCUGCCCUUCCUCCAGAUAUUCAAGCAGAAGUUCUGGCCCAACAAAGAGCGCAAAGGAGUGCACAGCUGGCCCAGCCAGUUGAUAUGGAUAACGCCUCAAUAAUUGCUACUUUUCCGGCUGAUUUACGUGAAGAGGUGCUUUUGACUUCGUCAGAAGCAGUGUUGUCAGCAUUGCCUUCCCCACUACUGGCUGAAGCCCAUAUGCUGAGGGAUCGAGCAAUGAGUCAUUAUUCAGCUCGUAGCCUGUUUGGAAGCAGCCACAGACUGAGUAACCGGAGGAAUGGUUUGGGUUUUGAUAGGCCAUCAAUGGACAGGGGUGUUGGAGUUACAAUUGGCCGAAGGGCAUCUUCUACCAUAUCUGAUAGCUUGAAGAUGAAGGAAUAUGAGGGUGAACCACUUCUGGAUACAAAUGCACUAAAAGCAUUAAUUCGCCUCCUAAGGUUAGCUCAGCCUCUUGGCAAGGGCCUGCUCCAGAGACUCUUGCUUAACUUGUGUGCACACAGCAUUACAAGGUCAAGUUUAGUUCAUCUUUUGCUCAAUAUUAUUAAGCCAGAAGCUGAAGGUUCAGAAAGUGAAUUGGCGAAAAUCAACUCCCAGAGGCUCUAUGGCUGUCAGUCAAAUAUUGUUUAUGGCCGUUCACAGUUGUUGGAUGGUCUUCCUCCUUUGGUGUUGCGUCGGAUUCUUGAGAUUUUGACUUUCUUGGCUAGAAAUCAUCCUGCUGUAGCAAGUAUGUUGUUUUACUUUGAUUUCUCGCUCUUGCGGGAGCUUUCAAGCCCAAGUCACGCAGAUGCAAAGUCACAUAAAGGUAAAGAGAAAAUUGUCGAAGGAGGAGUUUCAUCAGAUGGAUUUCAAAUUCAGGAUGGAGAUGUUCCUUUGGUCCUAUUCUUGAAGCUCUUGAACAGGUCCAUGUUUUCACGGGGCACUACUCAUUUCGAGCAGGUAUUAGGUCUACUUAAAGAAAUUGUUGAUAACCCGGCUCUCAAAUUAGAAAGUCAAUCUGGGUCUGAACAAGCAAUAAAUGAGCCCCAGCCAGCAGAGCAAUCGGAGCAAGGCCAAAAUGAGAAACCUUCAUUAGAGCCAGAGCUUCAUAAAGAGUGUGAAAAUUCAAAUCUGAACUUAUCCUCUUCAAAUGGAAGGAGAAGCAUCAGUAUAUAUGAUGUCUUCCUGCAGCUGCCACACUCCGAUUUAUGCAAUUUGUGCUGUUUGCUGGGACAUGAGGGGCUUUCAGAUAAAGUUUAUGUUCUUUCUGGUGAGGUGCUGAAGAAGUUGGCGCUAGUUGCUGCUCCCAUCAGGAAAUUAUUUAUCUCAGAGCUUUCCAAUUUGGCUCAUGAGUUGAGCGGCUCUGCUGUCCGCGAACUAUCUACCCUGAGGACUACGCAUAUGUUGGGUUUUAGUGCUGGUUCCAUAGCUGGGGCUGCUAUCCUACGUGUGCUUCAAGCACUUAGCGCUCUCACUUCAUCCAGUGUUGAUGGGAACUCAAGUGUCGAUGUCAGUGUGGAACAGGAGGAGCAACCUAUGAUGUGGAAGUUAAAUCUUGCUCUUGAGUCGUUGUGGCAAGAACUAAGUGACUGUAUAAGCAUGACAGAGACACAACUGUGUCAGAACUCACUGUCACACAUGAAUAUUGUGGAGCAUGUGCAGGGAACUACUCCUGGAUCUCCGCUUCCUCCAGGGACUCAACGUCUUCUUCCCUAUAUAGAGGCUUUCUUUGUUCUGUGUGAGAAGCUGCAAGCCAGUAAUUCUGUCACGCAACAGGAUCAUGUUAGUAAUUCCACUAACGAAAUUAAAAAAUCUCCUGGAAGAUCCACUUCAGUGAUUGCAGAAGGUGAUGGAGACUCUCACAAAAGGCUUGAUGGAACUGUCACGUUUGCUAAGUUUGCUGAGAAGCAUCGCCGGCUUUUGAAUGCUUUUAUAAGACAGAAUCCGGGCUUGUUGGAGAAUUCUCUUUCAAUGAUGUUGAAGGCACCAAGGCUUGUUGAUUUUGACAAUAAAAGGGCAUACUUCAGGUCCAGAAUUAGGCAACAACAUGAGCAACAUCUCUCAGGCCCUUUGCGCAUAAGUGUUAGACGGGCCUAUGUGUUGGAGGAUUCUUACAAUCAGUUGCGCAUGCGCCCAACUCAAGAGCUAAAAGGACGAUUGAAUGUGCAAUUUCAGGGGGAAGAAGGGAUUGAUGCUGGUGGCCUAACUCGAGAGUGGUAUCAAUUGCUAUCAAGGGUUAUAUUUGACAGAGGUGCACUCUUAUUCACAACUGUGGGAAACAACACGACUUUUCAGCCAAAUCCUAAUUCCGUCUACCAAACUGAGCAUCUUUCAUAUUUUAAGUUUGUUGGACGUGUGGUUGCUAAGGCAUUGUUUGAUGGACAGCUAUUGGAUGUUCAUUUUACCCGGUCCUUUUACAAGCAUAUUCUUGGAAUUAAAGUGACUUAUCAUGACAUAGAAGCUGUGGAUCCUGACUACUACAAAAAUUUGAAGUGGAUGCUGGAGAAUGAUGUGAGCGACAUUCUUGACCUCACGUUCAGUAUGGAUGCAGAUGAGGAGAAACACAUUCUUUAUGAGAAAAAUGAGGUCACCGACUAUGAGCUUAAACCUGGAGGAAGGAAUAUAAGGGUUACAGAAGAAACAAAGCACGAGUAUGUGGACCUUGUUGCUGACCAUAUUUUAACUAAUGCUAUCAGGCCUCAAAUCAAUUCAUUCAUGGAAGGCUUCAAUGAGUUAAUACCUCGGGAUCUCAUAGCUCUCUUCAAUGAUAAAGAGCUUGAGCUACUGAUUAGUGGACUUCCAGAAAUUGAUUUGGAUGAUCUGAGAGCCAACGCCGAGUAUACUGGUUUUUCGGCCGCAUCUAGUGUUGUUCAGUGGUUUUGGGAGGUUGUUAAAUCUUUUAACAAAGAAGACAUGGCAAGAUUGCUUCAAUUUGUCACUGGAACCUCUAAGGUUCCGUUAGAGGGGUUCAAGGCUUUGCAAGGCAUAUCUGGUCCUCAGAGAUUCCAGAUUCACAAAGCAUAUGGAGCUCCUGACCGGCUACCUUCAGCUCAUACAUGUUUUAAUCAACUGGACCUGCCAGAAUAUAUUUCCAAAGAACAGCUUCAGGAACGCCUGCUUCUUGCAAUUCAUGAGGCUAGUGAAGGGUUUGGGUUCGGUUGAGCAAUUUUUUUACGCCAGAUGUCAUUGAUAUUACAAGUGUCUUCAGGUACAGGCUGCAUCAUUUUCAGCUCCUCCAUGUCCAGGCGGAGGUGUUCUCCUCGAUUCAAAAUUCUGCAGAGCUUUUUACCCCUAGUGCUGAAGGUGCGUGAUCGGAUGACUGUUUAUCUGGGCUUCCAAACAACCCUUGCUGAGAAAUAAGCGGGAUAAAUUUCGGUUUCGAGUUCAAAGAAGACAAGCUUGAUGUUUACAUAAAUGUAGUUAGUUAAGUAGCCUCUUAGCAAGUAGGCUGGUACAUAGUAUGUUUUGCUGUGCCCGAGAACCAAAGUAAACCCGGCACAGGGGUGCUGCCUUUCUUUUUUGUGCAUUAUGAAUUUCAUUUACAGCUCUCAGAUAGAGCCAGCCCUGCUUAAUUAUCACCCCCUUUCUGUACAUAAACAGACCCACCUUUUGAUAAAGGCAAUGAAUAUAUAUAGGAACGGAUGGAAUCAAUGAACCGCCCAAGGUGCAGAUUAUGCUC